rnacentral:rRNA from 1 species
UACGUAGGUCCCGAGCGUCGUCCGGAUUUAUUGGGCGUAAAGCGAGCGCAGGCGGUUAGAUAAGUCUGAAGUUAAAGGCUGUGGCUUAACCAUAGUACGCUUUGGAAACUGUUUAACUUGAGUGCAAGAGGGGAGAGUGGAAUUCCAUGUGUAGCGGUGAAAUGCGUAGAUAUAUGGAGGAACACCGGUGGCGAAAGCGGCUCUCUGGCUUGUAACUGACGCUGAGGCUCGAAAGCGUGGGGAGCAAACAGG